UUGUCAAUGAUAACAACCCAAAAUCAUGAACAGAGGUGAUGAUAUAAAAAUCAUGCUCAAUAGGAUUACGCUGAGGCAC
ensembl:snoRNA Gm24966 predicted gene, 24966